rnacentral:misc_RNA from 1 species
UGAGAGGUCAUGGAGAACAGC